AGAGUUUGAUUAUGGCUCAAGAUGAACGCUGGCGGCGUGCUUAACACAUGCAAGUCGAGCGAAGCAUAAGAGAGGAAGUUUUAAAUGGAAUCUAUUAUGACUGAGCGGCGGACGGGUGAGUAACGCGUGGGGAACCUGCCCUAUACAGGGGGAUAACAGUUAGAAAUGACUGCUAAUACCGCAUAAGCGCACGGGGCCGCAUGGCCCUGUGUGAAAAACGAUAGUGGUAUAGGAGGGACCCGCGUCUGAUUAGGUAGUUGGUGAGGUAACGGCCCACCAAGCCGACGAUCAGUAGCCGACCUGAGAGGGUGACCGGCCACAUUGGGACUGAGACACGGCCCAAACUCCUACGGGAGGCAGCAGUGGGGAAUAUUGCACAAUGGGGGAAACCCUGAUGCAGCGACGCCGCGUGAGUGAAGAAGUAUUUCGGUAUGUAAAGCUCUAUCAGCAGGGAAGAAGAAAGACGGUACCUGAGUAAGAAGCCCCGGCUAACUACGUGCCAGCAGCCGCGGUAAUACGUAAGGGGCAAGCGUUAUCCGGAUUUACUGGGUGUAAAGGGAGCGUAGACGGCGAAGAAAGUCUGAAGUGAAAGCCCGCGGCUCAACCGCGGAAUGGCUUUGGAAACUUUUUUGCUGGAGUACCGGAGAGGUAAGCGGAAUUCCUAGUGUAGCGGUGAAAU
rnacentral:rRNA from 1 species